rnacentral:rRNA from 1 species
UACGUAGGGUGCAAGCGUUUGUCCGGAAUUAUUGGGCGUAAAGAGCUCGUAGGCGGUUUGUUGCGUCGGCUGUGAAAUCCCGAGGCUCAACCUCGGGUCUGCAGUCGAUACGAGCAAACUAGAGUGUUGCAGGGGAGACUGGAAUUCCUGGUGUAGCGGUGAAAUGCGCAGAUAUCAGGAGGAACACCGGUGGCGAAGGCGGGUCUCUGGGCCGAUACUGACGCUGAGGAGCGAAAGCGUGGGGAGCAAACAGG